rnacentral:rRNA from 1 species
AUGGGUAGAGGCAGCUCGCUUGUAUUGGUUCUCUUGGUGAUCCUACUCCUCAACAACGACCACGCCUCAGCUGUAGAAACCUUAGCUUGGAAUGAUGCUGGCAGCACCACCACCACCACCAUGCCUCCGUGGGUGCAACCCAGGGACCGGCAGCUGUUGGACUUGACGGUCGGCGAUAUGCAGGUGGACAUGGUGGUUGCCAAGGACGCGAGCGGUCACUUCAGCACUGUCAGCGAGGCCCUGGAUGCAGCUCGGCCGGUGAGAGGGAAGAGGUACGUGAUAUACAUAAAGAGGGGAAUAUAUCGUGAGGAGGUGGUGAUAAGGAAGAACAACAUAGCGUUGAUUGGGGAUGGAAUCAAUGAGACGGUAAUCUCCGUCAACAAGAGUAGAAGUGGUGGCGGGUGGGCCUCGUAUGACACGGCCGUCGUUUAUGCCAAAGGCACAAUGCUCAUGGCGCGUGACCUCACCAUUGAGAAUACGGCGGGCAGGGAGGCGGGUGCAGCAGUGGCUCUCAGGUCAGACUCCAAACAUUCGGUGUUCUAUCGCUGCGAGUUCAAGGGAUAUGAGGACACGCUCCUCGCCGACUCCAAUCGCCAGUUCUACCGGGAAUGCAUUAUCUCCGGAACCGUGGACUUCACUUACGGCAAUGCUAAGGCCGUGUUCCAGGAGAGCCUUCUCCUUGCACGUGCCCCGCUGAAAGGAAAACACAAUGUUAUUACAGCCCAAGGCCGCGACGGUCCUGACGGUUCCUCAGGCUUCUCGUUCCAGAAUUGCAGGGUGACAUCACAUGAAGAUCUCAACGGUGCCGAGACGUACUUAGGUAGGCCGUGGAGGAACCAUUCCCAUGUGGUCUUCAUGCAGUCUUUCCUCGACGGCAUCGUGCAUCCCAGCGGAUGGGUUCCAUGGGACAAAGCAGACGGCAACGUCCCGCCUACAGUUUAUUACGGCGAGUUCGCGAACACAGGCCCUGGGGCAAACUUGAGCAAGCGUGUGCCCUGGCUCCACGUUAUGGACGCUGGUCAAGCUGAGCAUUGCACGGGGAAGCGAUUCAUCCGUGGGGACGAGUGGCUCAACGCCACCGGAGUCGCGUACCAGCCUGGGCUGUAG